CCCUUGCGCGGGAGAAUGUCCCCGGGCAGGGCGUGCCUCUGAAAUCUCAGGCCGCACGAGGUCUCUCCGAGGUUCCUCCCACCGCAAAGCCCCAUCAUGAUACAGAAGGCUUUUUUGCAAAAUAGGGAUUUCUCAGCUUUUCCGAAGAGGCUCCUAAAUGUGGCUGUAACUUUGACAGGAGCCUCGCCCUUCCUCUGCCUUCAUCCCACACACUUCAGGAGUCCCCUACGUAUUCCACAAAACCCGAAACAACCCUUUGGGCCACUUCACUCCUUCUCAGCUUUAGGUGACUGACAUACAUCCGAAUAAAACUAGAGUUUUUUGCUGUAAUUAAAACGUACCAUCCCUAUGUCUUCCCAAAGUGUUUGGACAGGGGACUGGUAGUCAGUAGGUCUUCACGACGUGGUUGAUAAGAUCACUUUUAAGCUCUCCUCCACCUGGUUGUCACUUGAGAAUUCGGUUUGAGAGGAAAUGGUUUUCUAGAUGAUUUUUUGUCUAGAUGAUUUUUCAUCAUAUUAAACUUAAGAGUUUUUCUUAUCCUCUAGCUCUGUGAAUGUCCAAAGAUGUAAUACAAACUCUGCAUUGAUUUCCAAAGGUCUGAUUUCCACAGUAGCCCUAACUCUCCGGUCCUGCCUGCAGUGCCUGCCCUCUGACAUCCUGGGAAUGGGAAGAAACACUGGGAUCCGUGAUGGCAGAACUGCGGACCCUGACAACUUCUGAUUGUUGAAAGGGAGAGGGGAGAGUGGAAGAGAGGAAUGGAAAGGCAAAAGAAAAAACAUUUGUGUUCAUUUACACAUUUCCUGUGCAGAACAAAAAAGUCCCACCAUCAGCAAAAGAAGUCUCUUCCUCCAAAAUAGCAGCCAAAGAGGGAAAAUUAGAAUAUGCAUAAAGUCUUUCAUUUUCAUUCGCACAGAGCACGAUUUCCAAUUUCCGGCAGAUUUGUAUUUAAACUGCUCGAUUAAUCCCAAUUUCAGAACAGCAUUUUACUUAGCAUUUUCCCAAAACUUACCUAAAGAGUUAUUACUCCCUUCCCAUCACCCUGUUUUGGAGCCUUCUUUUUCCCUAUUCUCCAACUGCCGAUAAGAAUUUCAUUGAUAAGACUGUAACUUUAUUUUUCCGGUCCAUUAUUUUCCUUUUAAAACUAAACUGAUGCAUUGGACCACACUUGAAUGCAAGCUGGCUGCUGUCUGUGAAGCCGCAACUGCAAAUGAGAGCCCACUGGAAAGGAUGUGUUUUUGAAAUGUGUAUCUAAGAGAGAAUAAACAUGAUAGGGCCAAUAAACUCUUGCAGAUCCUCUCCUGUCAUCAAAACCUUUCCUGUUCUCCCCAGGUCAUAUCUUUUCACGACUAGCAAUAGCUGAGAUGCUUGGACAAAAUCUACCCUCCAAACCUUUCCUUCCCUCACCCCUUUUAAGGAGUUUUAUAGAAAAUCAUACAAUCCUCUUCAAAGGAAUAUUACUCUUCUUAAAUAUUCAGAGUGUCAGUCCAUUAAAUUCCCCUACAGCCCAUUACUAAAAUAUUUUGCUUUGCCACUUGUGCAACAGAUCUGGCUGUAUCUGAAAUUUCCUUUGUUGGAAAAAAUGUUAGUGAGCAUCAUUUGAAUAUCUUCUCUGAAAUAUUGUCUCUUGACUUG